rnacentral:rRNA from 1 species
GACGAACGCUGGCGGCGUGCUUAACACAUGCAAGUCGAACGGAAAGGCCUGCUUUCCCUUGUGGAUUGCGGGUACUCGAGUGGCGAACGGGUGAGUAACACGUGAGUGAUCUGCCCCCAACUUGGGUAUAAGCCUGGGAAACUGGGUCUAAUUCCCGAUAGGACUGCAGGGUGGUGCCUGUGGUGGAAAACGAUUUUCUAGUGGUUGGGGAUGAGCUCGCGGCCUAUCAGCUUGUUGGUGGGGUAAUGGCCUACCAAGGCGGCGACGGGUAGCCGGCCUGAGAGGGUGGACGGGCACAUUGGGACUGAGAUACGGCCCAGACUCCGACGGGAGGCAGCAGUGGGGAAUAGUGCACAAUGGGGGGAGGCCUGAUGCAGCGACGCAGCGUGGGGGAUGACGGCCUGCGGGUGGUAAACUCCUUUCGACCGCGAGGAAGCCACCUGGUUGGAAGGGUGGUGACGGUAGUGGUAGAAGAAGCACCGGCUAACUACGUG